rnacentral:rRNA from 1 species
UACGUAGGGUGCAAGCGUUUGUCCGGAAUUAUUGGGCGUAAAGAGCUCGUAGGCGGUUUGUCGCGUCGGCUGUGAAAACUCGGGGCUCAACCCCGAGCCUGCAGUCGAUACGGGCAAACUUGAGUGCGGUAGGGGAGACUGGAAUUCCUGGUGUAGCGGUGAAAUGCGCAGAUAUCAGGAGGAACACCGGCGGCGGAAGGCGGGUCUCUGGGCCGUAACUGACGCUGAGGAGCGAAAGGCGUGGGAGCGAACAGG